GUACUCACUUCAGCAGCACAUAUACUAAAAUUGGAGCAAUACAGAGAAGAUUAGCAUGGCCCCUGUGCAGGGAUGACAUGCAAAUUUGUGAAGUGUUCCAUAUUUUG
rnacentral:snRNA from 1 species